ACUCCUACGGGAGGCUGCAGUGGGGAAUAUUGCGCAAUGGGCGAAAGCCUGACGCAGCGACGCCGCGUGAGGGAUGAAGGCCUUCGGGUUGUAAACCUCUUUCAGCAGGGACGAAGCGAGAGUGACGGUACCUGCAGAAGAAGCACCGGCCAACUACGUGCCAGCAGCCGCGGUAAUACGUAGGGUGCAAGCGUUGUCCGGAAUUAUUGGGCGUAAAGAGCUCGUAGGCGGUCUGUCGCGUCGGCUGUGAAAACUCGGGGCUCAACCCCGAGCCUGCAGUCGAUACGGGCAGACUAGAGUGCUGUAGGGGAGACUGGAAUUCCUGGUGUAGCGGUGAAAUGCGCAGAUAUCAGGGGGAACACCGGUGGCGAAGGCGGGUCUCUGGGCAGUAACUGACGCUGAGGAGCGAAAGCGUGGGGAGCAAACAGGAUUAGAUACCCUGGUAGUCCACGCCGUAAACGGUGGGUGCUAGGUGUGAGCGGUAUUCCACGCCGUUCGUGCCGCAGCUAACGCAUUAAGCACCCCGCCUGGGGAGUACGGCCGCAAGGCUAAAACUCAAAGGAAUUGACGGGGGCCCGCACAAGCAGCGGAGCAUGUGGCUUAAUUCGACGCAACGCGAAGAACCUUACCAAGGCUUGACAUACACCGAAAACUCAUAGAGAUAUGGGGUCCGCAAGGGCGGUGUACAGGUGGUGCAUGGUUGUCGUCAGCUCGUGUCGUGAGAUGUUGGGUUAAGUCCCGCAACGAGCGCAACCCUCGUUCUAUGUUGCCAGCGCGUUAUGGCGGGGACUCAUAGGAGACUGCCGGGGUCAACUCGGAGGAAGGUGGGGACGACGUCAAAUCAUCAUGCCCCUUAUGUCUUGGGCUGCACACAUGCUACAAUGGCCGGUACAAAGGGCUGCUAAACCGCGAGGUGGAGCGAAUCCCAAAAAGCCGGUCUCAGCUCGGAUUGGGGUCUGCAACUCGACCCCAUGAAGUCGGAGUUGCUAGUAAUCGCAGAUCAGCAACGCUGCGGUGAAUACGUUCCCGGGCCUUGUACACACCGCCCGU
rnacentral:rRNA from 1 species